GGUAGAUGGCGAUGACACAGAUGAGGAGCUUAGGCGAGAGAACACUACUUCAGUUAAUACACUAUCCAGUACUGCUAGUUCUCAUCUCACUUGUUGUGCUUCUUGUACUGGGAGCACUCUUUGUUAUCCCAAGAUCUAACAUCAAAGGCAACAUGGUGAAUCUAGCACAGGCA